UCAGAGCACAAAAUUCCCGCAAAAGGCUUGAGCUUUUGCCUAAGCUAAAAUGGGUAUUUCUCGUGAUUCUAUACACAAAAGGCGUGCCACUGGUGGC